rnacentral:rRNA from 1 species
UACGUAGGGUGCGAGCGUUGUCCGGAAUUACUGGGCGUAAAGAGCUCGUAGGCGGUUUGUCGCGUCGUCUGUGAAAUUCUGCAACUCAAUUGUAGGCGUGCAGGCGAUACGGGCAGACUUGAGUACUACAGGGGAGACUGGAAUUCCUGGUGUAGCGGUGAAAUGCGCAGAUAUCAGGAGGAACACCGGUGGCGAAGGCGGGUCUCUGGGCCGAUACUGACGCUGGAGGAGCGAAAGCGUGGGGAGCGAACAGG